ensembl:lncRNA
AUGCUUGGUACAAAAUAUCAAAUUUUCUUCUUCUUCCUGGCAAAAGUGCCCAAGGCAUCCAUCUGGCACCACUCGAAAGGACCAGGACGGCAUGGAUCUGUGCAGGCUGAGCAGCACUCGGGUCCUGCCAUAGGGCAGCACCUCUGCAACGCAGAGCAGCAGCUGCAGCACAGCCAGCAUGUUCUGGCAUGGCCAGACCUCUCAAAACCAGACUGUGUUCACUUCACUGCUUCUUUCCCCAAUCCCAUUUCAGUUCAUAUCAUCCCUGUGGAGCUUGUGGAGACAGACCUAGUUGUGGAGGACAUCGAUGACGACUGGAGUGAUGAAGUAGCUUACGAGCCAAAGGCCUGGGAUGGCAUGGCUGAGCUGGUGGCCCAGUGUCGUCCUCUGCCCCCCAUAGAGGAGGAACUUCAGGAAGAAGAGACCAGGCUGUGCUCCUGCCCCCUGAGUGCUGCUGAGGAGGAGCAGGAGGAGCAGGAGGAGGAGGAGGAGGAGGAAGAGGAGGAAGUGGAGGAGAAGAAGGAAAAGGAGGAGGUGGAGGAGAGCGUGGGGUGAGUUUGUGCAGGGUCUGCAAACACCUUCAGCUCUUCUCCUGUUUACAGACUGGAAACGAGCAUGCUAGCCGUGGUUGUUUCUGAUGUGUUUACAAGCCACCGAGGUUGAGACACCUGCGGAAGAGCAAACUCCUCUCUGCAGAGCUGGCCCCAGGACUGGCUUGUGGCCGCUGUGGGGGAGCCCAGCGGGCUGUCAGCUCUGCCCACCCCUGUCCCUGCUGGGCCAGGAAACCGCUUUAUUUCCAGAAGAUGCUUCGGGGAGGAUGCUUCGGGGGGAGGGGAGGAGCGGGGGGAAGAGGAGCAGGGAUGUGCUUUGGGAAGGAUGCUUUGGAGGGGGGGUGAUGCUUUCGAGAGGAUGUUUUUGAGAGGAUGCUUUCGAGAGGGCGCUUUCACGAGGAUGCUUUUGCAACCCGCCUCACCCCCGAGAUCGCUGGUGACAUCGUGUCUCCUGGCGACACGGGCUCCAGCGCUGCAGCCGCCGCCCCCUCUGCACAGAUCCGGGGGGUGAGCGGGGCCCCGGGGUGCUGGGCACUGCGCCUUGGCUGCAGGCGGGUCUGCUAACUCGGGGCGCUCGGGAUUGCCGGUAGGACGGAGCUGAACCUAAAGACAGCACCGAGCCGCGGCUGCAAACACUCCCAGGGACGAGUAGGUGUGUUUUUGCCUCUUGUGGAAAACAGCCGGGCUAUUGUCAGCUUUUGUAGGCAGGAACUUUGGACCAGGCAGUAUUUAGAUAUGUUAUUUAUGUAUUUAAAUAGAUGUGAUGUUUAGAUACUUAAAUAUGUUUCUGAUCAGUUUAGUGGUUUGCUCUGAUUUCACGUGAUGUAAACAUUUAGGGAUUUCUAACCCAGCAGCCUAAUAUUCUCUGCCUUUUGCUAAUUCCUCUGAAGGAGUUAGAUUUUCAGGAAGAGGCUGAAAAUACACAAUUAUUCAGUGUUAAAAACUUAGCUAAUUAUUGAAUCAAAAUCUGUUUUUCAACAGGUUUCAAAACAGCAUUUUGCAUGCUCCUGUA